rnacentral:rRNA from 1 species
AGCGAUUUACUUCGGUAAAGAGCGGCGGACGGGUGAGUAACGCGUGGGUAACCUACCCUGUACACACGGAUAACAUACCGAAAGGUAUGCUAAUACGGGAUAAUAUAUUUGAGAGGCAUCUCUUGAAUAUCAAAGGUGAGCCAGUACAGGAUGGACCCGCGUCUGAUUAGCUAGUUGGUAAGGUAACGGCUUACCAAGGCGACGAUCAGUAGCCGACCUGAGAGGGUGAUCGGCCACAUUGGAACUGAGACACGGUCCAAACUCCUACGGGAGGCAGCAGGGGGGAAUAUUGCACAAUGGGCGAAAGCCUGAUGCAGCAACGCCGCGGGAGUGAUGAAGGCCUUCGGGUCGUACAUCCUUCUCCUCACGGACUAACACGACCGUCAUUAGCGAGAACGCCCCCGCAAA